rnacentral:rRNA from 1 species
CUAAGCAUAUCAAUAAGCGGAGGAAAAGAAACCAACAGGGAUUGCCCUAGUAACGGCGAGUGAAGCGGCAACAGCUCAAAUUUGAAAUCUGGCCUCCUUUGGGGGUCCGAGUUGUAAUUUGCAGAGGGUGCUUUGGCAUAGGCGGCGGUCUAAGUUCCUUGGAACAGGACAUCGCAGAGGGUGAGAAUCCCGUACGUGGGCGCCUGCCUUUGCCGUGUAAAGCCCCUUCGACGAGUCGAGUUGUUUGGGAAUGCAGCUCUAAAUGGGAGGUAAAUUUCUUCUAAAGCUAAAUACCGGCCAGAGACCGAUAGCGCACAAGUAGAGUGAUCGAAAGAUGAAAAGUACUUUGGAAAGAGAGUCAAAUAGCACGUGAAAUUGUUGAAAGGGAAGCGCUUGCAGCCAGACGUGCCCGCAGUUGCUCACCCCGGCUUUUGCCUGGGGCACUCUUCUGCGGGCAGGCCAGCAUCAGUUUGGGCGGUCGGAUAAAGGCCUCUGUCAAGUAUCUUCCUUCGGGAUGACCUUAUAGGGGAGGCGUAAUGCGACCAGCCCGGACUGAGGUCCGCGCAUCUGCUAGGAUGCUGGCGUAAUGGCUGUAAGCGGCCCGUCUUGAAACACGGACCAAGGAGUCUAACAUCUAUGCGAGUGUUUGGGUGUCAAGCCCGGGCGCGUAAUGAAAGUGAACGGAGGUGGGAUCCCUUCGGGGUGCACCAUCGACCGAUCCUGAUGUCUUCGGAUGGAUUUGAGUAAGAGCAUAGCUGUUGGGACCCGAAAGAUGGUGAACUAUGCUUGAAUAGGGUGAAGCCAGAGGAAACUCUGGUGGAGGCUCGCAGCGGUUCUGACGUGCAAAUCGAUCGUCAAAUUUGGGCAUAGGGGCGAAAGACUAAUCGAACCA